ACGCACGCUGGCGCGUGCUUAACACAUGCAAGUCGAACGGAAAGGCCCUGCUUUUGUGGGGUGCUCGAGUGGCGAACGGGUGAGUAACACGUGAGUAACCUGCCCUUGACUUUGGGAUAACUUCAGGAAACUGGGGCUAAUACCGGAUAGGAGCUCCUGCUGCAUGGUGGGGGUUGGAAAGUUUCGGCGGUUGGGGAUGGACUCGCGGCUUAUCAGCUUGUUGGUGGGGUAGUGGCUUACCAAGGCUUUGACGGGUAGCCGGCCUGAGAGGGUGACCGGCCACAUUGGGACUGAGAUACGGCCCAGACUCCUACGGGAGGCAGCAGUGGGGAAUAUUGCACAAUGGGCGGAAGCCUGAUGCAGCAACGCCGCGUGCGGGAUGACGGCCUUCGGGUUGUAAACCGCUUUCGCCUGUGACGAAGCGUGAGUGACGGUAAUGGGUAAAGAAGCACCGGCUAACUACGUG
rnacentral:rRNA from 1 species